GUAGGUGGCAAGCGUUGUCCGGAAUUAUUGGGCGUAAAGCGCGCGCAGGCGGUUCUUUAAGUCUGAUGUGAAAGCCCACGGCUCAACCGUGGAGGGUCAUUGGAAACUGGAGAACUUGAGUACAGAAGAGGAAAGCGGAAUUCCACGUGUAGCGGUGAAAUGCGUAGAGAUGUGGAGGAACACCAGUGGCGAAGGCGGCUUUCUGGUCUGGAACUGACGCUGAGGCGCGAAAGCGUGGGGAGCAAACAGGAUUAGAUACCCUGGUAGUCCACGCCGUAAACGAUGAGUGCUAAGUGUUAGGGGGUUUCCGCCCCCCUUAGUGCUGCAGCUAACGCAUUAAGCACUCCGCCUGGGAGUACGGCCGCAAGGCUG
rnacentral:rRNA from 1 species